rnacentral:sRNA from 1 species
AGCCCCUGCUCCUGGCGGAGCGAGCUAGCCUGCGAAUUUCAGCAUGAGUGUACUGCUGAGGUCAGGUUUGGGGCCGCUGUGUGCCGUGGCGCGCGCAGCCAUUCCUUUUAUUUGGAGAGGGAAAUACUUCAGCUCCGGGAAUGAGCCUGCAGAAAACCCGGUGACGCCGAUGCUGCGGCAUCUUAUGUACAAAAUAAAGUCUACUGGUCCCAUCACUGUGGCCGAGUACAUGAAGGAGGUGUUGACUAAUCCAGCCAAGGGUUAUUAUGUGUACCGUGACAUGCUAGGCGAAAAAGGAGAUUUCAUUACUUCACCUGAAAUAAGUCAAAUCUUUGGGGAGCUACUAGGUAUAUGGUUCAUUAGUGAAUGGAUGGCCACUGGAAAAAGCACAGCUUUCCAGCUGGUGGAACUGGGCCCAGGUAGGGGAACCCUCGUGGGAGAUAUUUUGAGGGUGUUCACUCAACUUGGAUCUGUGCUGAAAAAUUGUGACAUUUCAGUACAUCUGGUAGAGGUAAGCCAAAAAUUAAGUGAGAUUCAAGCAUUGACACUGACUGAAGAGAAGGUCCCAUUAGAGCGAAAUGCUGGAUCCCCAGUGUAUAUGAAAGGUGUCACUAAGUCUGGGAUUCCAAUUUCCUGGUACCGAGAUCUGCAUGAUGUUCCAAAAGGUAAUUACCUUUAUGUGGAUUAAUGAAAGAAUUUUGAUCACAACCCUCACAGUAUUGAUGGGACUGUAACUUUUUACAGCAAUAUAAUAGAUUGAGUUACUGCUUGCCAAGUCCCUUAUCCAUAGAGAGUAGCCUACUUUUUUCUAGAAAAGAGCAUCUUAAUAGAAAAUAAAGUUGCCUGAUAUUAAGUAGUAGUUUAUUUCAUGAAGCUUUGUAAAAUCCCAAACAAAAUGUAAAUCUCCUUUGUACUUUUGAGUAUUUCCCUAUAGCUAGGGUUGUACCGAUGACGGAGUAGCCCAAGGCAGCUGGGGCUGAUGGAAGCAGUGUUAGUAGGUGGGUUUAGUUCAGUUAUAGAGUCUUUUAAAAAAUCCUUACUUGCCUAAAGACAAGCAAGGUGUGGGGGAAAAAUCCCUGUACUAGUCAGGAAUACUGACUAGUAUUGACUAGUUUGAGUCUUGACUCAAAGCCAAAGUGGGGGUACGAUCUUGGGUAAGGGAUCUCAAGCCAUUCCUGCCUCAGCCUUCUCAGGCUGAGAAGCCCGAUUUUAUGAAAUCAAAUUCCCUUCCAGCUAACAAUUCUGACUUCUAAUUUCUUUCAAGCCUUGUGAUGAAUAAAAGCUUUAACUGCUAUUUCAGGUAUUUCCAUUUUCUGACCCCAUUUAUGUGUAAAAUAAGAAUAGUAAUAAUUGUUCUAUGUUCUGCAGUGUAAGUUUUCCAUGAAGAGGUAGAUAAUUCUGUGGUAGUGAUGAUUAUGGAGGAAGUAGGCAUUUUUUUUACAGUUAAUAUUCAAAAGAAUUAAUUCCUGUGAAAUGUGGAAACAUUAAUUGUUUUCCUCUUUUUAAAUAGGGUACAGCUUUUAUCUUGCACAUGAAUUUUUUGAUGUUCUUCCUGUGCAUAAAUUUCAGGUUUCUGAUAAACUGAGGUUUGUUUUGGCACCUUCUGCCACCCCAGCAGAAGCCUUCAUACAACAUGACGAAACAAGGGAUCAUGUUGAAGUGUGUCCUGACGCUGGUGUUAUCAUCGAGGAACUUUCUCAACGCAUUGCAUUAACUGGAGGUGCUGCACUGGUUGCUGAUUAUGGUCAUGAUGGAACAAAGACAGAUACCUUCAGAGGGUUUUGCGACCACAAGCUUCAUGAUGUCUUAAUUGCCCCAGGAACAGCAGAUCUAACAGCUGAUGUGGACUUCAGUUAUUUGCGAAGAAUGGCACAGGGAAAAGUAGCCUCUCUGGGCCCAAUAAAACAACACACAUUUUUAAAAAAUAUGGGUAUUGAUGUCCGGCUGAAGGUUCUUUUAGAUAAAUCAAAUGAGCCAUCAGUGAGGCAGCAGUUACUUCAAGGAUAUGAUAUGUUAAUGAAUCCAAAGAAGAUGGGAGAGAGAUUUAACUUUUUUGCCUUGCUACCUCAUCAGAGACUUCAAGGUGGAAGCUAUCAGAGGAAUGCACGUCAGUCAAAACCCUUUGCAUCCGUUGUAGCUGGGUUUAGUGAACUUGCUUGGCAGUGAUAUUUCAGCUUGGACAUUUUACUCUUCAGUCGGCCCAAGAAAUCAAAAUAAAGGAAACACAUUUCAUACACUGCAGGUAACAAAAGUCAAAGUAUUUUAUCUUUCCACAGCAAGAACAGUCCAUGUUGUAUAUAAUACAACCAACAUUAUAGAACUUUUAGGGUUGUGACUGGCUUUGGUGCAAAUGUGUGCUCAAGCUAAUAAGUUAUUGUGAAACUGAGUUUCCUUUAACUUACAAAGCUAGUUGCCAUAUUUCUAUUUUAUUUUAAAAAGUAAACAUGCGGCUGGGCGUGGUGGCUCAUGCCUGUAAUCCCAGCACUUUGGGAGGCUGAGGUGGGCAUAUCACCUGAGGUCAGCAGUUAAAGACCAGCCUGACCAAAAUGGAGAAACCCCAUCUCUACUAAAAAUACAAAACUAGCCGGGUAUGGUGGUACAUGCCGGUAAUCCCAGCUACUCAGGAGGCUGAGACAGGAGAAUCACUUGAACCUGGGAGGUGGAGGUUGCGGUGAGCUGAGAUCGUGCCACUGCACUCCAGCCUGGGCAACAAGAGCAAAACUCCCUCUCAAAAAAAAAAGUAAACAUGGGCACUGAUGGUUUUAAUAAAAAUGGGAAACAGACUAAAUGGCUAUUCACAGGAAACUGAUAAGAUAUAUGUUAUUUUUUUUAAAUGAGCUAGGGCAAUAUGUUUUGACAGAAAACUCUUAAGAUUUAGUAAGUGAAAAAAAGUAGGAUGCAAGAGUUUUUAUAGUUGAUUCCAUUUUUGUUGAAGGAGAAAAACUAAAUAAAUACAAGUAAUUUCAUAGAAACGAA